AUGUUCGUUCUAAUAUUCUGUAUUCUAAAAUGUUUAUUCAUCAACCAUGUUUCAAUUCUUGUAAUGUUUAGAGCAAGGUUCUAUGUGGGGAUAGGUUUUAGUGUAAUUAUUUACGUUCUUUUUGAAGAGCAGCAUCUUUUUUCUAUGCAUAAACAGCUCCAUAAUGGAUCAUUGACACAGAGAGAAGGCAGAGACAUAGGCAGAAGGAGAAGCAGGCUCCCUGGAGGAGCCCAAUGCAGGACUCGAUCCUGGAACUCUUACCUUGUUUUCUAACUCUAGAUACCAUUGAUUACCCACUAAGGCAGGUCAUGAGCCAACUUAGAAAGAAGAGGGAUAAGGAAAUUAUACAAAUGCUUCAAUGUCUAUGGGCGUGUCCUUGCUUGCCACAAGCUGUCUGGAACUAUAAGUAGUGAGUUACUAAUUACUCUGAUAUGCAAGCAUGAUCUGAAUGAUUAUAUUCCAGAGAUGCAUUAGAAAUGUGUUCUUUAUUGGUUGUGAUGUUGAACUAUUACAUGUAUGUAAUGAGAUAUUUCUCCAACUAGUUGUACUUUUCAAGAUACUUCCAUAUAAUUUUCUUGCUUGAUUUCACAACAAUAUGGGGAAGGUUUGUACAGUAGGAGUUAUAAUUUAUUUUUGUCUGUGAAGAUUCUGAGGAUCAGACCUGUUAAGUGACCUGCUCAAGGCCAAUAGUAGGUGAUGAAAAUGACACUGGAGUCCUGAUCUUCUGAUUACUGUUGCUAUUACUUCUCUCAGCUGCUAUUUAUUAUUUUUUCCUUUCAUAUGUGUCAGGAUAUGUGCUUUAGAAAUGUAAUCUCAUUGAAUCCUUUUAACAGCCCUUUUUGGGAAGUACUGUUUCAUUUUACAGAAUCCAGUGCUCUCUCCAACAGUUCCCUUCCAAAGCUGAAAGUUGAUAAAGCAAUAGUACAAAUGAUUGUCUUAGUUUAUCAUUCACUUUUCAUUGCUUUUUAAAGGCUGAGCUGAUAAUUCUAACUCCCUUAUUCUACUUUGAGAUCAAUUCAAUUCCUUAUUUAAAAAAAUUACAGCCUUUUGAGCUCAUUUCUAUUCCCUUCAUAAUAGCAGGUGUUAAAAUUUGCAUUGUAUAUAGCCCUUAUUUUGCUCUAAAUCAGAGGUAUGAAAGACCUGUAGACAAUUCUCUGUACUGCAAAACGUCAUACAGAUAAAUUAUAGACCACUGAAGGCACUGGUAACAUGCUGUCCUCUCAACAAAGACAGAAGUUACUGGAGUUAGAGAUUCAAAGAAAUAUAUUGGUUAUGUGCCAAAGGAUAUAUUUACAAUAUAAUGGUUUGUAGGUCUCAGUGAAAUACUUAGGGAAAAAAAGACAUGAAAAAUUUACUUUCUUGUUUACUUCUACAGUAGGUUGUUAAGUGACAAAAUACCCCCCAAUGUCACAAUGGCUAGUUUUCUCUAUGCCGGGGAAGGGCCUAUGCAUUCAACUGAAACUCCAUAAGAGACUUGAUUUAUGCAAUUUUGAGCCACACUGCAGUCCCCUUUACCCCCUACCAAAAAAUAAAAAUCCAGAAAAUAUAUUCUCCA
rnacentral:lncRNA from 12 species